UCGCGAAUUUUUCACAAUGGGCGCAAGCCUGAUGAAGCCACGCCGCGUGCGGGAUGAAGGCCCUCUGGGUUGUAAACCGCUGUCAGGUGGGGGGAAACGUAUGGUUUUAAUAGAGCCAUGCUUGACUGCCCGCCAAAGGAAGCCCCGGCAAAACAUGUGCCAGCAGCCGCGGUAAUACAUGUGGGGCAAGCGUUGUUCGGAAUUACUGGGCAUAAAGGGUGCGUAGGUGGUCUGGUAAGUCAGUGGUGAAAUCUGGCGGCCCAACCGUCAAAUUGCCAUUGAUACUGCCGGACUUGAGUGCGUGAGGGGUGACUGGAACGCGUGGUGUAGCGGUGAAAUGCGUAGAUAUCACGCGGAAGGCCAACGGCGAAGGCAAGUCACUGGUACGCAACUGACACUG
rnacentral:rRNA from 1 species